rnacentral:rRNA from 1 species
GACGAACGCUGGCGGCGUGCCUAAUACAUGCAAGUCGAACGCACGAAGUUGAAGAGCUUGCUCUUUAACCAAGUGAGUGGCGGACGGGUGAGUAACACGUGGGUAACCUGCCCAUUAGAGGGGGAUAACAUUCGGAAACGGAUGCUAAUACCGCAUAGUUUCAGGAAUCGCAUGAUUCUUGAAGGAAAGGUGGCUUCGGCUACCACUAAUGGAUGGACCCGCGGCGUAUUAGCUAGUUGGUGAGGUAAUGGCUCACCAAGGCAAUGAUACGUAGCCGACCUGAGAGGGUGAUCGGCCACACUGGGACUGAGACACGGCCCAGACUCCUACGGGAGGCAUGAGUAGGGAAUCUUCCGCAAUGGACGAAAGUCUGACGGAGCAACGCCGCGUGAGUGAAGAAGGUUUUCGGAUCGUAAAACUCUGUUGUUAAAGAAGAACAAGGAUGAGAGUAACUGCUCAUCCCCUGACGGUAUUUAACCAGAAAGCCACGGCUAACUACGUGCCAGCAGCCGCGGUAAUACGUAGGUGGCAAGCGUUGUCCGGAUUUAUUGGGCGUAAAGCGAGCGCAGGCGGUUCUUUAAGUCUGAUGUGAAAGCCCCCGGCUCAACCGGGGAGGGUCAUUGGAAACUGGAGAACUUGAGUGCAGAAGAGGAGAGUGGAAUUCCACGUGUAGCGGUGAAAUGCGUAGAUAUGUGGAGGAACACCAGUGGCGAAGGCGACUCUCUGGUCUGUAACUGACGCUGAGGCUCGAAAGCGUGGGGAGCAAACAGG